AAUUUCAUCUACUCCGGCAUAAACCUGAAUUUGGCACCUGCCUGUCUGUAAUCAAGUCUCUCUUAGAAGCAUGCUGAAGAGACUUGUGAAGUUCUGGACUUUUGACUCAAGACACUCAUGGCGGUUUAAAUUUUGUCCUGAUAAUUCAGCGCCCCGCUGACACACGGGAUCUGAGCGGAUGACGGAAUAUCGGGUGCUACUUAAGCCAAAGUUUUAAAAUUGGGAAACAUUUAUCAAAAUUAAAUAACCAGGAGUCUAUCAGAUUCUGUGAAAGAAGGGUUAACACUAUCUAGAACGGGAAGCACUCGACAUUGUACUCUUGAGCACAGGUCUGUCACAGACACGCUUCAAGCUCCUAUUUAGCAUGGCGCUUGAGCCCACUCUUAAAAGAUUGUGUGAGAAAGUGUGAGAGCGCAGAUGCUCUGGUGUGGAUCUUUAAGUGAUUAGGUUACCUCCACGAUGUACUCUUUGUGUAACGUGUUAAAUAUCUGUGCACCUGCAUGUGUCAUUAAAGUAGUGGUAAUAUCCCCCUCAGUCUUACUCCACCCACAUUUCAUAUUUGAAAAAUGCGGCCCAAAGAGGCGUUUCCUGUAAGACCGAGAAGGUGGAGCUACAACCGUGAUUGACAUACUGAAAUUUGAAUACAGAUGGCGACGGAGAGCGACACUAGCUCAGAGCAGUCAUUCGAGGUGGAGGACUUUUCCCCACCUUCUUCCCCAGAGUAUAGGGAGGAGGGCUUAUUGGGGGAAGCAAGCGGUCCUGAACCGUAUCUUUUUGAGCCACUAGCUCGUGAGUUGUCAGAGGCCCCUGGAGCCGAGCCAACAGGAGUAUGAAGGCAUCGAAUGGGUCCAGUCUCUGAGUGGUGCACCUGCGGCCACUGCACAUCAUUGUCUGCCAGAGAAAAUGUGUGCUGCAGAGAAACGCCCAAGGUAAUGCUCAGGUGUCAGCAGGUGGGUGUAACCUCCUGCAUAACUGAGCAUCCUGGUUUUGAGCCUGUUGCUCUGAAUCCCUACGUGUUGCAGGCAGUUUAUGGCACCUUUCUGCAACUCUAUGGGGAGA